rnacentral:lncRNA from 1 species
CUCUAGCGCGCCUGAGUCACGUGAUAGGACAGAUUUUCUCAUAAGGACCAAUGGAAAGGUCUUACAUUCACAAACUCCGCCCACCCGGAACUCGCGGGACAGAUGAAUGCACACUGAAGGAGCACGAAUAGCACUGCUCGUCCUGUUUUAGGUUUCGUAGAUGUUUGACUCGACCUGCUUUGUAUUAUACCGACGAUGGACCGCAAACGGAGCAAGGCACAGGCCGAGGCUAUGGCUGCAGAUCUCAGUGACGUCACUUCAAUGAAUCUGCUUGGCGUCGCCGAUGUAAAUCAGUGGAUAGAACUUGUGAAAGAUUACUCGGUGGCUGGAGAUCACACACAUGUCCUCUCUGAAUCUGAAGAUGGUGACGGUGAUGACGAUUAUGACAUGGAUCACUCAGUUAUCACAGAUGAAGUUGAGAUGAUUAUGAUUAGAGUGCGCAACGCGAUGGAACCGGGUUAUGACAAGGAGAUGGACAAAAUCCGUCAAUUUGAUUGCAAAUGCGGAGAGGGGCGGAAGGAAGACAACGAAGGAUCGUGCACAAAAAAGUUGUACCCAGACCGCAUCUACAAAUACAGGCGUAAUAUGGCAUCCUUAACACAGAGGUUGAGAGACAUUGCCAUUCUCGGAGUAUUAAAUACCAUCGCACCUAUACUUACCGUAGGUGCGAAGCCCCAGUGUUCCAAGACAGGUGAGCAGACUCAACGGAACCCCCAAACACUUCCAUACCUGGUUGGAGGUGUUCCAGUCUGCGAGGAAUCAUUUCUAUUCAUAUAUGGCAUCAGCAGAGAGCGUCUAAUAUUCCUCCACCGAUCCUACCAGGAGAACGGUACAAAGCCACCCACCUCACCAACUACCACUGGUCGUCCACAUAAUCCUGUAGCCCCUGCGGCUGCCACUGUCCGGCCACGCAAGCCCCGUGCUACUGCGAAGAAGAAAUAGCAAGUCUUGACCAGCAAAUGCAUAUGUAUGUUUUAUAGACCAUGGAGUUUAGCAGCUGUUAUUCCAUUGCCAAGGACAUUACAUGCACAUGUCCUGGACUUAAGGAAAUGACAGGAUGCAAAAUGCUUUCAGUAUUUAAGAGAAUAAAUGUCGACAUGACACCAUACAGUGCAUUCAGAAAGUAUUCAGACCCCUUGACUUUCCCACAUUGUUACAUUACUACCUUAUUCUAAAUUUGACUAAAUAAAACAAUUCCUCAAUCUACACAGUAUACAAUAAUGAAAAAGCAAAAACAGGUUUAUAAAACAGGCAAAUGUAUAAAACAUUUUUAAAUACAUUUUAGAAUAAGGCUGUAAUGUGGGCAAUGGGUCUGAAUGGACUGUAAAGACGGGGUCUUCUGAUUUUAGUGUAUUUUUUAGUAAGUAGUCAAAAUAUUUUAAUCUACAUAUGUUUUUAUCCCCAAUAUUUGUCCUGUAUACUGCCUUGUACUGGAUGGUCUGAUAUUGGCAGUUCUGUCACUAAUUCGCUAGUUCUUAAAUGACUGCUUCCAUGCAGUUACGCUGCAUUGAUUGUAUUGACACACUAAUGUGAAGUCACCACACUUAAGUUGCUGUAGCCUAGUUUUACUGUAGCCUAGGCCUAUGAAGCACUGUUGGCCAACUGGUAAAAUAUUGAGGUUAUUACAACCUAGUGAAAAUUACAUUUUAGCCUACAGUCUGGUUUACAGUUGGUCUGUAGACAGUUGUCGCAGUGACAAACAUUCUGUUGUCCAACACAACUUGUUAUGAAAAAGUAAAAACACAUGACGGGCUGCAUGACAUCAACAGCAUGGUGGUCCAAAUGGCAGAACUGCUGUAUUUUAACCCCAAUAAACCCAGAUUUAAUUUACUAUAUUAUUGUCUACAUUAGACAUAUCAUUAGACCAAGUAUUCAGACCACACAUUUUUCAGCAUUUUAUGGUACAGCCUUAUUUGAAAAAUGAUUUUUUUUUAAUUCUUCAAUCUACACAAUACCACAUGCCAAAGCAAAAAUGGGUUUAGAAUUUUUUGCAACUGUAUAUGACUGAUACUCUAUUUACAUAAGUAUUCAGACCCUUUGCUAUGAGACUCAAGGUGCAUCUUGUUUCCAUUGAUAAUCCUUGUGCUGUUUCUACAACUUGGAGUCCACCUGGGGUAAUGUUAAUUGAUUGGACAUGAUUUGGAAAGGCACACCUUGGAGAACCAUCUCUGCAGCACUCCACCAAUCAGGCCUUUAUCCUAGAGCGGCCAGACGGAAGCCACUCCUCAGUAAAAGGCACGUGACCACCUGCUUGGAGUUUGUCAAAAGGCAACUACUAAAGGACUCUCAGACCAUGAGAAAUAAGAUUCUCUGGUCUGAUGAAAUCAAGAUUGAACUCUUUGGCCUGAAUGCCAAGCGUCACGUCUGGAGGAAACCUGGCACCGUCCCUACGGUGAAGCAUGGUGGUGGCAGCAUGCUGUGUUUUUUUAUUUUUCAGCGGCAGGGACUGGGAGACAAGUCAGGAUCGAGUGAAAGUUGAAAGGCACAAAGUACAGAGAGAUCCUUGAUGAAAACCUGCUCCAGAGCGCUCAGGACCUCAGACUUUGGCAAAGGUUCACCUUCCAACAGGACAAUGACCCUAAGCACACAGACAAGACAACAUGGGAAUGGCGUUGGUUCUUGUUUUUGCUCUGUCAUUUUGGGUUAUUGUGUUUUGAUUGGGGGGGGCAAUUUAAUACAUUUUAGAAUAAGGCUAACGUAACAAAAUGUGGAAAAAGUCAAGGGAUCUGAAUACUUUCUGAAUGCACUAAACUUUCCUCUCCCCUUGCAGCUGACUUCCAAAGGAAUUUAGGAAGGCUGUUUUUCAUGAUAAUAACCCUCUUUUCGGUGACUGCCAAUAUCCGAUGCUAUGCGACUCAAACAUGAGCAAUAAGAGAUCAGCACAAUGGACAGUGUUUGAUUAAUUUACCACAAAAAUGAUUUUAUUAUCAAGCCACUGCUCUUUAUUUUUUAAAUUGUUUUUGACUGUUUUUGUUUCUUGUUGGUGUGGUUACAGGUACGUUAUCCAUUGCAUUGCAGACUUUGAAUUAUUCUGCAUACAGUUGGUUCACUAACAGCACACAAAUCUCCUGUUUCACGAUGGAAGGUUCCAGAUGCCAAAAACCUCAAGUUGAUCAGGAUGGGCUUUCCCCUAAGAGAGUCAGAUGAAAGCCUUGGCUCAAGCAAACAAAUGAUGUCAGCUGCAUUGUCUUUGGACAUACGGAAACGUUCAUGGAAAUUGAUUUCAUCAAAAUCAUUCAGUGGGUUUCUCCUGUCUAUAACUGCCCUUUGAUCAUCAUUGAAAUAGUCCAGGUAAUCCAUUUUCCUCCAUUGCCUAGGUCAACCUGGGGGCCAACAUCCAUUAAUCUGUGUCUGCGGAACACCCCCAUAAUGUUUAAAUUGAUGGUUCAGAUUACGGGAUGCCAAGGUCAUAUUUUUCCAUAUUUGGUUCCAGUUAUAGGGUUUUUCACAUUCACUUAGAUCUGUGGACCAUACUUUUUUAAUGGCCAGCUCAGACUGUGAGCUUUCCAAAAGUUGUUUAUAUAUUAUAUAGUUCAGUCCUUUCAAGAGCCCAGAUCAUUUCUUUAUAGAUCCUAUCUUUGCAUGGUUCAGUGGUUGGGUUUCCUAAGGGACUCCAUAGGCCAGCAUAGCUGACCUAAAUUGUAAAUCUAGAAAAAAGGAGUUGCCUGGUAAUGUGUGUCUUUCAAAUGUUGGAAUGUUCUGAAACCAUUACUGUCAAUGAUUUUGGCAAGGGUACUGAUUCCACAUUUGUGCCAUUGGGGGGAUGCAGAAGGCUGCUCUCCAGAUGGGAAGGCAUUGUUGUGAAACACUGGAGUAUGGGCAUACCAUUUUGAUUCCCAGUUACAUUGUUUUUACAUUUUACACCAAAUAGAAAUUGUGUGAGAAAUAAUAGUACCAAAGCAUAGUUUACACAGUGCAAUUGAUAUAUCAGUGAAGACCACCUCUUCCAGGGUAAUAGGAAACACCAUAUUUUUCUCUAUACUCAGCCAGGGGGCAGAAGAAUCAUGUCUAAACCAAUUUAGGAUGGGACGAAAUGCUUGUGCCUGGAAACACAAAAAUGUAGGAACGGAUAGUCAUCCCACGUCUUUCCAAGUUUGUUAAUUCUUUCCAGGCUCGCUUACCUUGCAAUAUACAUUUUGUCCCAAUAGCCAGAAGGGGGAGACAAGGGAAGCAUUGAACCACAGAAAUUCAGCCUUGGCAAUAUAUUCAUUUUGACGAGAUAUUCUGCUGUUUAAAGCAACUGGGAUAUUAGUCGGAUUGAAUUGAUUUCAGCAUUCUGUUAAAGUUUCUGGCAAUGGUUUUAUCUAAGGAAGGAAAUGCAGUAUAUCUAUUCCCAAAUACUGUAUUUAAAAUGGGAAACGAUAGUAGAGUAGAGACUGAGUCCUCCAUCGGGGUCUUGAGAGGCGUAAGGGCAGAUUUGGUUAGAUUUAUUUUCUAACUUGAGAUGAGGAACGCCAGUAUGAAGAUUUGCACUCAGGCUAGAAUGGAUGGAGAAUGGAUGGAGGCCGGUGCGUAGAACAAUGCCAAGAGUGUGCAAAGCUGUCAUCAAGGCAAAGGGUGGCUAUUUGAAAUAUUUUAUUUGUUUAACACUUUUUUUGGUUACUUCCUUUUGUGUUUUUCAUAGUUUUGAUGUCUUCACUAUUAUUCUACAAUGUAUAAAAUAGCAAAAAAUAAAGAAAAACCCUUGAAUGAGUAGGUGUUCUAAAACAUUUGACCGGUAGUGUACAUACCUACUUUAAUCUUUACUUUCAGGCCAACGGGGAAGUGGUGGUAUGGAGAGGUUGUUUUUUUUGAUCGCCUGAAGAGGAACGGUGGGGGUAACUGGCGAGCAACCCUAGUUGCAAGGUGCGGGGGGAAACAUGGUUUCCAGGAGUGGUGGGUGGAUGGAGACAUGUUGCCUUGGUGGGGUUGAGGGAAUGGGAGGUUGAAGGUGGAGGCCCAAUUUGUGUUUUUCCUUUUCCUAUUUAUCACUUUAAUUCUGUAUUUCUUACCAUUUUAUUUGUUUUUAGUAACCGCCUACGGGCACAUUCAAUAAACGUAUCAUUUGAAACGGAUAAUGUACCUGUAACCACACCAUCAAGAAACCAAAUAAACAUUGUCAAAAAUAAUUACAAAAAUUCAGAGCAGUUUCUUAUUAAUAAAAUCAUAUGUGGUGAAUUAAUCAAACACUGUCCAUUGUGCUGAUCUCUUAUUGCUCAUAUUUGAGUCACAUAACAUCGGAUAUUGACAGUCACCGAAAAGAGUGUUAUUAUCAUGAAGUAAAAUCAGCCUUUCUAAAUUCCUUUGAUAGCCAGCUGCAAGGGGAAAGGAAAGUUCAGUGCAUUCAGAAAGUAUUCAGAUUCAAUUUCUGAGGCUGGUAACUCUAAUGAACUUAUCCUCUGCAGCAGAAGUAACUCUGCGUCUUCCUUUCUUGUGGCGGUCCUCAUGAGAGCCAGUUUCAUAGUGCUUGAUGGUUUUUGCAACUGCACUUGAAGAAACUUUCAAAGUUUUUUUAUGUUCUGGACUGACUGAACUACAUGUCUUAAAGUAAUGAUGGACUGUCAUUUCUCUUUGCUUAUUUGAGCUGUUCUUGCUUUAAUAUGGUCUUUUACCAAAUAUGGCUAUCUUCUGUAUACCACCCCUACCUUGUCACAACACAACUAAUGGGCUCAAAUGCAUUAAUUAGGAUAUCAAUUCCACAAAUUAACUUAAGGCACACCUGUUCAUUGAAAUGCAUUCCAGGUGACUACCCCCAUGAAGCUGGUUGAGAGAAUGCCAAGAGUGUGCAAAGCUGUCGAGGCAAAGGGUGGCUAUUUUGAAGAAUCUCAAACAAACAAAUCAAAAUAUAUUUUAACACUUUUGGUUACUACAUGAUUCCAUAUGUGUUAGUUCAUAGUUGAUGUCUUCACUGUUAUUCUACAAUGUAGAAAAAAAUUAAGAAAAACCCUUGAAUGAGUAGGUGUGUACACACUUUUGACUGGUAUGUCUUGACUUAUAUUGUCAGCCAGUCCAAGCAGAUUGUUCCCAACUAAUCUCACUCUCACACACAUAUUGUUUGAAGUUGAUAACAGAGCUUCAGGAGAGUUCAAAGCAAUGAGGCGUCACAUUCAUAUAUGAGCGCUGACCUUUCUUGGACUAGGGACUUGAUUAGCAGGAAAUGGCUGUGACUAAGGUUGCAAAAUCCUGGGAUACUUUCAACAAAUUCACAGUAAAUUCUCCCUAUUGUAUUGCUUGACUAUAUUCCUACUGAAUGGUUGGAAGAGAGAUUGACUUCACCAUUACUUGUUUUUUGUAAGAGGUGUUGACAAGCUGAAUUUACUGAGCUGUCUAAAAUACUUUUACUGAACAUUUGUUUCCCCAUCUCGCACCUAAUUAUAUAAAACACACAUCAGAAUUGGGUCAGAUUGAUACAGGAACCUCUAUACCUGAAUUAGAUUAGAAAUAAUAGCAGAUGUUUUGAUACUUCAAACACCACACACAUUAAUAUAGC